rnacentral:rRNA from 1 species
UACGUAGGGUCCGAGCGUUGUCCGGAAUUAUUGGGCGUAAAGCGCGCGUAGGCGGUUACUUAAGUCGGAUGUGAAAGCCCUCGGCUUAACUGAGGAAGUGCACCCGAAACUGAGUAGCUAGAGUACGAAAGAGGGUCGCGGAAUUCCCGGUGUAGAGGUGAAAUUCGUAGAUAUCGGGAGGAACACCGGUGGCGAAGGCGGCGACCUGGGUCGAGACUGACGCUGAGGCGCGAAAGCGUGGGGAGCAAACAGG